rnacentral:antisense_RNA from 1 species
ACUGACUGGCCCCCGAGCCCGGGGCAUCUGAGAAACCUCCUGCGAACGGCUACAGAGGAAAUUUUCAGGUGCGAGAGAUCUGAAGAAAGUUCUGGAACCUGCGCCUGGACCGGUUUGGACCCUCAGUGGAAACACAUCAAAGAGAAGGAAAACCAGCUGGGGAAGGAUCCUGGCAGCGGUGGCUCAGGGUGCUGGGCGGAGGCCCCAUUUUUCACCGACCGAUGGCUGGGAGAGCCUGUGCCACCCACUAUGCCCUGACACCCGCACAGGACGGCGACUCACAGAUGCCUUUUGCUGCUCUGCCCGGGUCCUGCCACGGCGCGAGGUGCAUCAGGCCAGGCAGCCACGCAAAGGCCCCGGCUCCUGGCUUCUGCCAUCUUUUCUGUCCUGCAACUCUACCCUGGAGCCUCCCACCCCUUCAAAAGCUGCAGGAAGAGGCCUGCAGGCAAGAGAAGAGGACUGCAGGAGUGAGCAAUUUAAGAAAUGGAAGGCCGAGGUUUUCCAAUCUAAUUAACAGCAUGACAAGCCAGGAUGGGCUGCUGACACGCAUGGAGCCUUGCACAGCCAGAAACGCGGUGUCCUGCUCCGCUCCUGAGACGCCAGGGCUGUCACUGCAACACAGCCCCCAACACUUCCACACGGGCGGACUCUGGCUCUCCAGGCACCGCAGCGCCCUCUCCUUCCCUUCCCAGCUCUCCUGAGGCCUGUGGUUCUGGGAGUCUCUGCCCCGUGCAAGCGUGACCGUGGCCCUCCUCCCAUGUCCAGCCGCACCAGGCCCUGGGAUCCCGGAUCUGGCUUCACCUUUGCAAGGGGCUCAAAGCAAGCACCUAUGGGGGUGGGGGCGGCAAAGCCGUCUGGCCAAGGUCCCUUCUCUAGAGUGCCUGUCUGUCUGUCUGUCCUUGAGGAGCCUGAGGAGUGCAAGGCAGGACAGGCAGGCACCAGCUGACCCGGUACCGGGCAGGGACCAGUGCAGGACCUCGAGGCAGGGCUGGGUGGGGUGGGGGUGGCCAGAGUCUCCUGGCUCGGAGCAGACACGGGUGAGUGGCACAGACUGUCCUCACACCCUCCUGGGACAAAGGUAGGAAUCCGUGACCAGGACAGACACAGGCAGGACUGGGAGAGGCAGAGCAGGUGCCUGAGCUUGGCCACGCACAGCUUCCAAUGAGGUUGGGCCAUCCACAGCUCCCUAAGGUUCCCCGCCACUGUUCACCCCACCCCAGCACAGCCGAGAGCUGUGGUUUCUCCUCCCAUGGAGUCCUGCAUGGCUGCCCACUCCAGGCCCAGCCCAAGGGCACCGCCUUCUCCAGGCUGCCUUCCCCGCACAUGCCACACCUCCAGCCCCAGCAGGUUCUGAGGAGGGGAGGAGCUGGGGCCCCCACUUGCCCUCCUGUUGCCAGGAUACAGGCCCAGGAAAAAAUGCCACAGUGCUGGAUUAAUGUCUAGACAACGUGACCUUUCCCCUGGUUCUCUAGAUAUAAUUGGGACCCAAAUUGUCCGGUGUCAUGAGCUGACAGCAGGGAUGAAGGAGGGGUCUGUUCUCGGUGCCCCGAGGGGACUCCGGGAGAGGGAGAGGGCAGCCCACUACCUGCGUGGGGGCUGCAUGGGGACGAGCCAGGGUCGCCCACAAAGGCGCUUUCUGUGGAGGGGACGUCACCUCUUCCAUCAGCGAUGACGCAGCUCUGAGAUCACAGUGUCCUCGCAGUGGCUCCCGUUAACUCCCUGCUGCCCAUCCUGCCAGGCUGGUGCCACGAGACCCUCGGGGCUGGGCCGUGGGACAGGUGCCUGCCCAGCCCUGCAAACACAUCCAGCAGGUGUCAAGGGCUGCCAAGCACAGACUCCGACUGCCAGCCAUGCACAGUGCCAGCUGCGACAGCAACGCCUCUGCCAGGAGACACGGAGGAGACCGGCCCUGACGCUCCUGUCAGGGGGGGCUGCUGCACACUCAGGCAGGAUGCAGGGGUCCUGAGGGGGACCCUCGGCUCACCCACGGCUCCCGUGGCCGGUCUGGUCCUGGUAUUUAUCUCAACUUCAUUGUUGUCCAGAAGCUGCUUUUUAUUAUUUGUGACCAUGAAAGGAUGUAAACAAAUUCCUGUUUUGAGUCAAAGCUACCUGCAUCCACCAGGCCACAGAGCAGGGACACGGCCGCAAUGUGGAGUCAGUAAGCCAAGGCUGUGAGAAGAUUCUCAGGAGGGGGGUCCAGGGAGGGAGAACUGAGGGCUGGGGUUUCGGGGGGGCAUUUUACUUUUUAUUCCAGGCAGCGCUGUAUUGGCUGGGGCCUCAAAUGCUGAAUAAUGCUCCUGUUGGACUUCAGUAAUUUAAAAAAAUAAAACUGUUUAAAAAUC